rnacentral:rRNA from 1 species
AGAGUUUGAUCAUGGCUCAGGACGAACGCUGACGGUGUGCUUUAGGCAUGCAAGUCGAACGAGAAAGCCCUUCGGGGUGAGUACAGUGGCGAACGGGUGAGUAACACGUGGGCAACCUGCCCCUCGCAGGGGGAUAACCGGAGGAAACUCCGGCUAAUACCCCGUAAGCUUUCAGGGUCGCAUGGCCCUGUAAGGAAAGGUAGCUUCGGCCAUCCGGCGAGGGAUGGGCCCGCGGUGCAUUAGCUAGUUGGUGGGGUAACGGCCCACCAAGGCGACGAUGCGUAGCUGGUCUGAGAGGAUGAUCAGCCACACUGGGACUGAGGCACGGCCCAGACUCCUACGGGAGGCAGCAGCCAGGAAUCUUGGGCAAUGGGCGAAAGCCUGACCCAGCAACACCGUGUGGGCGAUGAAGGCCUUCGGGUCGUAAAGCCCUGUUGAUAGGGACGAAGGGCGAAGGGUUAAUAGCCCCUAGCCUGACGGUACCUUUCGAGGAAGCCCCGGCUAACUACGUGCCAGCAGCGGCGGUAAUUC